UACGAAGGGUGCAAGCGUUGUUCGGAAUUACUGGGCGUAAAGGGUGUGUAGGCGGUUAUGUAAGAUAGCGGUGAAAUGCCGGGGCUUAACCUCGGAACUGCCGUUGUUACUACGUGACUAGAAUGACAGAGAGGAUAUUGGAAUACCCAGUGUAGAGGUGAAAUUCGUAGAUAUUGGGUAGAACACCGGUGGCGAAGGCGAGUAUCUGGCUGUAAAUUGACGCUGAGGCACGAAAGCAUGGGGAUCAAAC
rnacentral:rRNA from 1 species